GCCUGGGUGGCUCAGUCGGUUAAGCGUCCGACUUCGGUUCAGGUCAUGAUCUCGCGGUCCGUGGGUUCGAGCCCCACUUCGGGCU
rnacentral:tRNA from 1 species